GGGGUUGUGGCUCAGUGGUAGAGUGCUUGCCUACCAUGCAUGGGGGAACUGGGUUCAAUCCUCAGCACCA
rnacentral:tRNA from 1 species